AUGGAAUGCAAUGCCUACAAUUUAAAUGCAUCAGGCCCCAUUAGAAAUACACAGUUAAGUGCGCUUGGGAUAGAAUAGUACUGGGAUGGGUGACCUCCCAGGAAGUCCUAUUAUUUUACAUG
rfam:Picea glauca, whole genome shotgun sequence.